UACCUGCAGCUCAAGUGGUGACCGCUAUUAUUGGGCCUAAAACGUUCGUAGCCGGCUGAGUAAAUGCUUGGGUAAAUCGUGCCGCUUAACGGUACGAAUUCCGGGUAGACUGCUCAGCUUGAGACCGGGAGAAGCUAGAGGUACUCCUGGGGUAGAGGUGAAAUUCUGUAAUCCUGGGGGGACCACCAGUGGCGAAGGCGUCUAGCUAGAACGGGUCUGACGGUGAGGGACGAAACCCUGGGGCGCAAACCGGAUUAGAUACCCGGGUAGUCCAGGGCGCAAACGCUGCUUGCUUGAUGUUAGCUGGGCUCCGAGCUCAGCUAGUGUCGGAGAGUAGUUGUUAAGCAAGCUGCCUGGGAAGUACGAUCGCAAGAUUGAAACUUAAAGGAAUUGGCGGGGGAGCACAGCAACGGGUGGAGCGUGCGGUUU
rnacentral:rRNA from 1 species